rnacentral:lncRNA from 10 species
GGCUGUGUGGCUGCUUGAUUUUCAUUGUCUAGUGGCAGCCAAAAUUGGAAAAGAGAGAAGUGCAGACUUUAAAGACAAGCAGCGACAGCUCAUCAGCAGUCUAACAACACGACAGAUGACAGGCCCAGAGGCACACCCAGGGCCGCCAGCCCAUCACCCUGUGCAGGAUGUCAAAGAGCAGCUGCAGCAAAGGAAGAAGAUCAUCCAGACUUAAAUGUUUGGGCCUUGCUAAGACCAUAGAGUCUUUGUGCUUUGGAAACAGUCCUCCAUACAAAGACCCCUUCCUAGAAAAGAGUGGAAAGAAACCAAGGCACAGGAAGAAAGCAUUGAGGUCACAGGGCAGCUCAGGUCCGCCUGUGGUAAUUGAAAACAGGUGACGAGAUUGGGUUGAUUUUAUUUUGGAAAAGUAAAUUAGUGCUGCACCACUCGGACAUGGCUAAUUCAUGAAGCCUCUGGUUUGUAUUAGACACCCAACAUGCCUUUCAGAAAGAAAUGACACAACAAUUAAUGUGUCAAAUAAUAAUGUGCCACUCGGAGAAAGAUAAUUGUACCCAUCGUCAGGUAGUUAUUAGGUCGAACGAAUGCUCAUCCUUUCAAAGGCAACAGCGUCUAUUCAUUCUGGCAUCCUACUGUAAGUACAGUAUUGUGUUCAUAAUCACACAGACUGAAGCCAGGAACACUGGGUUUUAUCUGAUUUUUCUCCAUUUGGAAUUGUACUCCGAUGAUUCCCUAAACAGCAAACUCAGUCAUGUGAAACACAAAUGAGUGUGAUGAAAGACAGAUUGUUAUACUGCAGGAGAGGCUUUC